UCAAGUUAUUAAGGGUGCAGGGCGGAUGCCUUGGCACUAGGAGCCGAUGAAGGACGUGAUAAGCUGCGAUAAGCUUCGGGGAGUUGCACGUAAACUUUGAUCCGAAGAUUUCCGAAUGAGGAAACUCACUUAGAGUAAUGUCUAAGUAUCAUUAAGUGAAUACAUAGCUUAAUGAGGGGAACUCAGGGAACUGAAACAUCUAAGUACCUGAAGGAAGAGAAAGAAAUUCGAUUCCGUAAGUAGCGGCGAGCGAACGCGGAUUAGCCCAAACCAAUAAAGUUUUCUUUAUUGGGGUUGCGGACAUAUCAUAACGAAGAGGUAUCGUAAUUGAAGAGGUUUGGAAAGACCCACCACAGAAGGUAAUAGUCCUGUAUGUUAAACGAGAAGACUUCAGAUAUGAUCCAGAGUACCACGGGACACGUGAAACCCUGUGGGAAGCAGGAGGGACCACCCUCCAAGGCUAAAUACUACCUAGUGACCGAUAGCGUAUAGUACCGUGAGGGAAAGGUGAAAAGAACCCCGGGAGGGGAGUGAAAUAGAACCUGAAACCCUGCACUUACAAGCUGUGGAAGCACAUUUCUUGUGUGACCGCGUACUUUUUGUAGAACGGGCCAACGAGUUACGUUAAGUAGCAAGGUUAAGCACUUAAGGUGCGGAGCCGUAGCGAAAGCGAGUUUUAACUGAGCGUUCAGUUACUUGACGUAGACCCGAAACCGGGCGACCUACCCAUGAGCAGGAUGAAGCGAAAGUAAAAUUUCGUGGAGGUCCGAACCCACGAGCGUUGAAAAGCUCGGGGAUGACUUGUGGGUAGCGGUGAAAUUCCAAUCGAGCCCGGAGAUAGCUGGUUCUCCCCGAAAUAGCUUUAGGGCUAGCCUCAAGGUGAGAGAUACGGAGGUAGAGCACUGAAUGUCCUAGGGGGUAUUGCACCUACCGAAGACUAUCAAACUCCGAAUGCCGUCAUCUUAUACUUGGGAGUCAGACUGUGGGUGAUAAGAUUCAUAGUCGAAAGGGCAACAGCCCAGAUCGUCAGCUAAGGUCCCUAAAUGUAAGUUAAGUGGUAAAGGAUGUGGGAUUGCACAGACAACCAGGAUGUUGGCUUAGAAGCAGCCACUCAUUCAAAGAGUGCGUAAUAGCUCACUGGUCGAGUGAUCCUGCGCCGAAGAUUUCCGGGGCUAAAACUUACUACCGAAGCUACGGCAUCAGUAAUGAUGGGUAGGGGAGCUUCCCAUACGGGUUGAAGCAUGACCGUAAGGACAUGUGGACAGUAUGGGAGUGAGAAUGUUGGCAUGAGUAGCGAGAUGUGGGUGAGAAUCCCACAGGCCGUAAACCCAAGGUUUCCAGGGGAAGGUUCGUCCGCCCUGGGUUAGUCGGGACCUAAGCUGAGGCCGAAAGGCGUAGGUGAUGGACAACAGGUUGAUAUUCCUGUACUACCGAUAACCGUUUGAGAGAAGGGAUGACACAGUAGGAUAAGCUAAGCACACUGUUGGUUAUGUGUGCCCAAGCAUUGAGGCAGUCAAAGUAGGCAAAUCCGCUUUGAUAAUGCUGGGAUGUGAUGGGGAGCGAAAUUUAGUAGCGAAGUAGCUGAUUUCACACUGUCAAGAAAAGUCUCUAUCGAGGUUAAAGGUACCCGUACCGCAAACCGACACAGGUGGGUGAGGAGAGUAUCCUAAGGCCAGCGAGAGAACUGUUGUUAAGGAACUCGGCAAAAUGACCCCGUAACUUAGGGAUAAGGGGUGCCACCAUCCGGUGGCCGCAGAGAAUAGGCCCAAGCGACUGUUUACCAAAAACAUAGGUUUCUGCUAAGUCGCAAGACGAUGUAUAGGAGCUGACGCCUGCCCGGUGCUGGAAGGUUAAGGGGAUCUGUUAGAGCAAUCGAAGCAGUGAACUUAAGCCCCAGUAAACGGCGGCCGUAACUAUAACGGUCCUAAGGUAGCGAAAUUCCUUGUCGGGUAAGUUCCGACCCGCACGAAAGGCGUAACGAUUUGGGCACUGUCUCAACAACAGACUCGGUGAAAUUGUAAUUCCGGUGAAGAUGCCGGAUACCUGCGACAGGACGGAAAGACCCCAUGGAGCUUUACUGUAGCUUGACAUUGGGUCUUGGUACUACAUGUACAGGAUAGGUGGGAGGCUUUGAAACCAGGACGCCAGUUUUGGCGGAGCCAUCCUUGGGAUACCACCCUUGUAGUACUGGGACUCUAACCAUAGGCCAUGAAUCUGGUCUUGGGACACUGUCAGGUGGGCAGUUUGACUGGGGCGGUCGCCUCCCAAAAGGUAACGGAGGCGCUCAAAGGUUCUCUCAGUACGGUCGGAAAUCGUACGUAGAGUGUAAAGGCAAAAGAGAGCUUGAUUGCAAGACAUACAGGUCGAGCAAGGAUGAAAAUCGGACUUAGUGAUCCGGUGGUUCUGCGUGGAAGGGCCAUCGCUCAACGGAUAAAAGCUACCCUGGGGAUAACAGGCUUAUCUCCCCCAAGAGUCCACAUCGACGGGGAGGUUUGGCACCUCGAUGUCGGCUCAUCACAUCCUGGGGCUGUAGUAGGUCCCAAGGGUUGGGCUGUUCGCCCAUUAAAGUGGUACGCGAGCUGGGUUCAGAACGUCGUGAGACAGUUCGGUCCCUAUCCGUCGCAGGCGUAGGAAAUUUGAGAAGACCUGUCCUUAGUACGAGAGGACCGGGAUGGACGUACCUCUGGUGUACCAGUUGUUCUGCCAAGGGCAUGGCUGGGUAGCUAUGUACGGAAUGGAUAAGCGCUGAAAGCAUCUAAGCGCGAAGCCAACUUCAAGAUAAGAUUUCCCACCGCAAGGGUAAGACCCCAGAAAGACUAUCUGGUUGAUAGGUCGAAGGUGUAAGUGCAGCAAUGUAUUUAGCUUAUCGAUACUAAUAGGUCGAGGACUUGACCAA
rnacentral:rRNA from 1 species